rnacentral:rRNA from 1 species
ACGAACGCUGGCGGCGUGCUUAACACAUGCCCGUCGAACGGAAAGGCCCUGCUUUUGUGGGGUGCUCGAGUGGCGAACGGGUGAGUAACACGUGAGUAACCUGCCCUUGACUUUGGGAUAACUUCAGGAAACUGGGGCUAAUACCGGAUAGGAGCUCCUGCUGCAUGGUGGGGGUUGGAAAGUUUCGGCGGUUGGGGAUGGACUCGCGGCUUAUCAGCUUGUUGGUGGGGUAGUGGCUUACCAAGGCUUUGACGGGUAGCCGGCCUGAGAGGGUGACCGGCCACAUUGGGACUGAGAUACGGCCCAGACUCCUACGGGAGGCAGCAGUGGGGAAUAUUGCACAAUGGGCGGAAGCCUGAUGCAGCAACGCCGCGUGCGGGAUGACGGCCUUCGGGUUGUAAACCGCUUUCGCCUGUGACGAAGCGUGAGUGACGGUAAUGGGUAAAGAAGCACCGGCUAACUACGU